ACACUGUUCAUGGGUUACCGCGGCUGCUGGCACGGAGUUAGCCGGUGCUUCUUCUGUGAGUGAUGUCCUUCCUGCCGGCUAUUAACCCGCAGGCCUUCUUCCUCACUGAAAGUGCUUUACAACCCGAAGGCCUUCUUCACACACGCGGCAUGGCUGGAUCAGGGUUGCCCCCAUUGUCCAAUAUUCCCCACUGCUGCCUCCCGUAGGAGUCUGGGCCGUGUCUCAGUCCCAGUGUGGCUGAUCAUCCUCUCAGACCAGCUACGGAUCGUCGCCUUGGUGAGCCGUUACCUCACCAACCAGCUAAUCCGACAUAGGCUCAUCCGAUAGCGCGAGGCCCGAAGGUCCCCCGCUUUCCCCCGUAGGGCGUAUGCGGUAUUAGCCUGGGUUUCCCCAGGUUAUCCCCCACUACCGGGCAGAUUCCUAUGCAUUACUCACCCGUCCGCCGCUCGCCACCAGGGAGCAAGCUCCCCGUGCUGCCGCUCGACUUGCAUGUGUUAGGCCUGCCGCCAGCGUUCAAU
rnacentral:rRNA from 1 species